UGGUGGGCCGAAAAAUGGGGUCACCGGUCAGAAUUUGGACACCACCACUGUAUUGUCAUCUGACUCCAACGGCGUUGAGAGCACAAAACCCAUGGACGACGAAUCCACCGCGAUCGACGGCGGAAACACAAUUUCUCAGCCCCAGAACGAUGAUCGGGCGGUGGAUGAUGGUAAGUGCGACCAGCUGUCGGAGCUGGAGAAUGGAGCUUCUGAUUUGAGUACGGUCAAGAACGAUGUGACCAAGUCUGAUGAUGGGUUUGGGGGUGCCAAUCAU
rnacentral:lncRNA from 1 species